rnacentral:rRNA from 1 species
GACGGAGGAGGCUAGCGUUGUUCGGAAUUACUGGGCGUAAAGCGCACGCAGGUGGCGGUUCAAGUCGGAUGUGAAAGCCCGGGGCUCAACCCCGGAUGUGCAUCCGAUACUGGAUUGCUGGAGUCCGAAAGAGGAGAGUGGAAUUCCCAGUGUAGAGGUGAAAUUCGUAGAUAUUGGGAAGAACACCGGUGGCGAAGGCGACUCUCUGGUUCGGUACUGACACUCAAGUGCGAAAGCGUGGGGAGCAAACAGG